rnacentral:lncRNA from 1 species
AUUUUUUUAAUUUUUUAAAGAUUUUAUUUGUUUAUUUGACAGACAGCAAGAGAGGGAACACAAGCUGGGGGAAAGGGAGAAGCCUCUUCCCUGCUGAGCAGGGAGCCCAAUGUGGGGCUCCAUCCCAGGACCCUGGGAUCAUGACCUGAGCCGAAGGCAGACUCUUAACGACUGAGCCACCCAGGUGCCCUACCUGACCUAAUUAUUAAGGCGCCAGGAAGGGUUUCUCAGCUCGUCAUCCCGGGCCUCGGGGGACAUCUUCGGGCCAGUGUGAGGCGGUAUCUGUGAAUCAGCUGCGGCUGAAAGCUGGAAACAGAGUGAACCCAACACUGGAAGAACCGCUAAGGAUUUACGACGUUCCAGAGGAGGAACAAUUCAUAAAAACCCGACCGGCCAACUUCUCUGCAAUGUGUUAAAUAACAAACCGAGGGUGUAGAGCUGCUUUUUGUUACUUGGAGCAAAUGAAAUGUCAGGGAAG